rnacentral:rRNA from 1 species
AAUGAGCCUGCGAGUUGUGGUGUCUGGCAAGGUUAAGCAAACGCGAAGCCGUAGCGAAAGCGAGUCUGAAUAGGGCGCUUAGUCAGAUGCUGCAGACCCGAAACGAAGUGAUCUAUCCAUGAGCAAGUUGAAGCUAGUGUAAGAACUAGUGGAGGACUGAACCCAUAGGCGUUGAAAAGCCCCGGGAUGACUUGUGGAUAGGGGUGAAAGGCCAAUCAAACUUCGUGAUAGCUGGUUCUCUCCGAAAUAUAUUUAGGUAUAGCGUUGUGUCGUAAUAUAAGGGGGUAGAGCACUGAAUGGGCUAGGGCAUACACCAAUGUACCAAACCCUAUCAAACUCCGAAUACCUUAUAUGUAAUCACAGCAGUCAGGCGGCGAGUGAUAAAAUCCGUCGUCAAGAGGGAAACAACCCAGACUACCAGCUAAGGUCCCUAAAUCUUACUUAAGUGGAAAACGAUGUGAAGUUACUUAAACAACCAGGAGGUUGGCUUAGAAGCAGCCAUCCUUUAAAGAAAGCGUAAUAGCUCACUGGUCUAGUGAUUUUGCGCGGAAAAUAUAACGGGGCUAAAGUAAGUACCGAAGCUGUAGACUUAGUUUACUAAGUGGUAGGAGAGCGUUCUAUUUGCGUCGAAGGUAUACCGGUAAGGAGUGCUGGAGCGAAUAGAAGUGAGCAUGCAGGCAUGAGUAGCGAUAAUUAAUGUGAGAAUCAUUAACGCCGUAAACCCAAGGUUUCCUACGCGAUGCUCGUCAUCGUAGGGUUAGUCGGGUCCUAAGUCGAGUCCGAAAGGGGUAGACGAUGGCAAAUUGGUUAAUAUUCCAAUACCAACAUUAGUGUGCGAUGGAAGGACGCUUAGGGCUAAGGGGGCUAGCGGAUGGAAGUGCUAGUCUAAGGUCGUAGGAGGUUAUACAGGCAAAUCCGUAUAACAAUACUCCGAGAACUGAAAGGCUUUUUGAAGUCUUCGGAUGGAUAGAAGAACCCCUGAUGCCGUCGAGCCAAGAAAAGUUUCUAAGUUUAGCUAAUGUUGCCCGUACCGUAAACCGACACAGGUGGGUGGGAUGAGUAUUCUAAGGCGCGUGGAAGAACUCUCUUUAAGGAACUCUGCAAAAUAGCACCGU